CAAAUUACAAGACUCUCCGCCAUUCCAGCUGUUAGCGGCUUUGUUUCCCAACGUAACUCCUCUGAGUGUGUGUCUGCGUGUGUGUCUGCGUGUGUGUCUGAGUGUGUGUCUGAGUGUGUGUCUGAGUGUGUGUCGUUCCCUCAGCGCGGCGCACACACUCACACAGAGUUGGCUAAGGAGCUUGUGGCAUCUGGGACUUGGAUUAGAAGUCCUGACAGGGAGAUGGAGGACGGAUUACUCCGCCUGCCUCCGGCUGUUUGUUCGAGUGAGACAGAAGAAAACAAAGGAUUCGCAGCCUGAACGUCUGCUGCAAAUAACUGAAGACGAAAAGCACACGAUUCAAAACUGUUUCAAGCCGGAGAUCUGAAACAACACAGAGUCGACUUUUCAUCACUGAGUCUUCUCAUUCCCGCUAACACAGCUAACACAGCUACCACAGCUAACACGGCUAACACAGCUAACACAGCUACCACAGCUAACGCAGCUAACACAGCUACCACAGCUAACACAGCUAACACGGCUACCACAGCUACCACAGCUACCACGGCUAACACGGCUAACACAGCUAACACAGCUACCACAGCUACCACAGCUAACACAGGUAACACAGCUCCCAAAGAGACUUUGAGGUCAUGUGACCAUGCAAAGCAGGACUCACUCUCACGCCGUUAUCGCUUCUCCUCGCUCCGUCGCCUCGGGAGUGGACUCUCCGGCCGUCGUCCUCGCAUUCCGGCGCCGCGGGUGGAGGUCGGGUCGAUAACACAUUUCAUGCUGGCUGGUGUCAGCACACCACUGAAGAAGAGGAGAAACAUACUCGUCAGGUGGCGAGAUUGUCGUGGCGAUGGCAGAUAAGAGAUGGUUGUGAAGCUGGUUGAACCCAUCAUCUCGUCAUCCGUGAGGGCGCUGACCUCUGACCCCUCCCUCCCACCCUGGAUGUUUCUGCGUAUCACCCCCAAAAACACAAACAACAACAACAACAACUGCUUCUUUUCAAAGAGUCAAAUGAAACAACGAGUUAUCUUGUAAGAUUAUGAAGUAAAGGAACAUGCUGUUUUUUAGUGACUCACUCGGAUUACAUUUUUUUUUGUUUUUCCAUCUCAGCUCUUCUCUCAUGAAACAUAAAACAUCAUUGUCACAUUUGUCUGAGGGGGUCUCACCUGCCGGGGGGGAGGCGGCAGAUCGCAUCAUCAUUCCCGGCCUCCCUAUUGGUCGAUAAAGCAAACUGACUUUUAUUAGAUGGCCAGAUUUAUUUUUCCCCUCGUAUGACUAAACAGAAAUGAACAGCGGGUGAAAGAUGAGUGAAGCUUCAUGGAGCCGUGGAGGGGAACGUCGCAUCGGAGGCAGGACGAUGGAGUAGCUCUCACACACGCAACACAACACACACACACACACACACAGACACACACACACACACACACACACACUGUAAUGUACUCUGGGUCUCUGAAAAGGUUCAGUCUGAGCAGAAUGCAUUAAAGCAGCAGUGUG